rnacentral:rRNA from 1 species
AUUGAACGCUGGCGGCAUGCCUUACACAUGCAAGUCGAACGGCAGCACGGGUGCUUGCACCUGGUGGCGAGUGGCGAACGGGUGAGUAAUAUAUCGGAACGUACCUUAUUGUGGGGGAUAACGCAGCGAAAGCUGUGCUAAUACCGCAUAAUCCCUAAGGGGGAAAGCGGGGGACCGUAAGGCCUCGCGCAAUUAGAGCGGCCGAUACCUGAUUAGCUAGUUGGUGAGGUAAAGGCUCACCAAGGCAACGAUCAGUAGCUGGUCUGAGAGGACGAGCAGCCACACGGGGACUGAGACACGGCCCAGACUCCUACGGGAGGCAGCAGUGGGGAAUUUUGGACAAUGGGGGCAACCCUGAUCCAGCAAUGCCGCGUGAGUGAAGAAGGCCUUCGGGUUGUAAAGCUCUUUUGUCAGGGAAGAAACAGCAGCUCUAACACAGUUUGCGAAUGACGGUACCUGAAGAAUAAGCACCGGCUAACUACGUGCCAGCCGCCGCAGUAA